CGAAACUGCGAAUGGCUCAUUAUAUAAGUUAUCGUUUAUUUGAUAGCACCUUACUACUUGGAUAACCGUGGUAAUUCUAGAGCUAAUACAUGCUAAAAAUCCCGACUUCGGAAGGGAUGUAUUUAUUAGAUUAAAAACCAAUGCCCUCUGGGCUCUCUGGUGAUUCAUGAUAACUUCUCGAAUCGCAUGGCCUUGCGCCGGCGAUGGUUCAUUCAAAUUUCUUCCCUAUCAACUUUCGAUGUUUGGGUAGUGGCCAAACAUGGUUGCAACGGGUAACGGAGGGUUAGGGCUCGACCCCGGAGAAGGAGCCUGAGAAACGGCUACUACAUCCAAGGAAGGCAGCAGGCGCGCAAAUUACCCAAUCCCGACACGGGGAGGUAGUGACAAUAAAUACUGAUACAGGGCUCUUUUGGGUCUUGUAAUUGGAAUGAGUACAAUUUAAAUCCCUUAACGAGGAACAAUUGGAGGGCAAGUCUGGUGCCAGCAGCCGCGGUAAUUCCAGCUCCAAUAGCGUAUAUUAAAGUUGUUGUGGUUAAAAAGCUCGUAGUUGAACCUUGGGCCUGGCUGGCCGGUCCGCCUCACCGCGUGCACUGGUCCGGCCGGGCCUUUCCCUCUGUGGAACCCCAUGCCCUUCACUGGGUGUGGCGGGGAAACAGGACUUUUACUUUGAAAAAAUUAGAGUGCUCCAGGCAGGCCUAUGCUCGAAUACAUUAGCAUGGAAUAAUGAAAUAGGACGUGCGGUUCUAUUUUGUUGGUUUCUAGGACCGCCGUAAUGAUUAAUAGGGACAGUCGGGGGCAUCAGUAUUCAAUUGUCAGAGGUGAAAUUCUUGGAUUUAUUGAAGACUAACUACUGCGAAAGCAUUUGCCAAGGAUGUUUUCAUUAAUCAGGAACGAAAGUUAGGGGAUCGAAGACGAUCAGAUACCGUCGUAGUCUUAACCAUAAACUAUGCCGACUAGGGAUCGGACGAUGUUAUUUUUUGACUCGUUCGGCACCUUACGAGAAAUCAAAGUGC
rnacentral:rRNA from 1 species